rnacentral:tRNA from 1 species
CGUUGUAAUGGGCUUCCGUUGGCUCAAAGCGCAAUUUUUCUAAAAUUGCAGGGAGGGGAAACCCUCCUUUUGAUUAGGAUUUACUAUGAC